CCAAGUGGUAGUGCUUUCAAUCAUAACUAUUCCUCUCCCUAUUUUUUAGAGCAUGUUCGAUUCUUGCACAUAUUACACCAAAGUUCUUGAUCAGAUUUUUUUAGUUUCUUAUGUCUAGGUAAAUCAAGCAAGCAAAUAUGAUCAUAUCCAGGAUCUGUAAUACUGGAUCAACACAGGUACUAGCUGUUUAUUAUCCCGCGCUUAUUAAUUUUCAAUGGGCUAGCCAUUCUUGUUGUUCCAGAUAAAAAAUUCUGGAUGGUUUCUUUUAUGAUCAGAUUGCAUCUUAUUAGUUACCUGGUGCCUUGCCUGAACAAUUAGUAUUGUUGCCGAGUCACAACAUUUUGGACUAAUAUGAUUUUACAUCUCAUAAGUGUGAUCUAAUGUUUAUCUAUAGGACAAGAACAUAAAUGGAUGAUUACAUCAGUGGAAUUGAAAGAGAAACGAGGGUUGCUAGCAUUCUAAGAGGGAUCCCUUUUGUGC
rnacentral:lncRNA from 1 species